UACGUAGGUGGCAAGCGUUGUCCGGAAUUAUUGGGCGUAAAGCGCGCGCAGGCGGCCUCUUAAGUCUGAUGUGAAAGCCCCCGGCUCAACCGGGGAGGGCCAUUGGAACUGGGAGGCUUGAGUAUAGGAGGGAAGAGUGGAAUUCCACGUGUAGCGGUGAAAUGCGUAGAGAUGUGGAGGAACACCAGUGGCGAAGGCGACUCUUUGGCCUAUAACUGACGCUUGAGGCGCGAAAGCGUGGGGAGCAAACAGG
rnacentral:rRNA from 1 species